AGUCUGGGUCUGCAGUCUUUGAUAGUCUGGGUUUACAAAGACUGUAAACCCAGACUAUCAAAGACUGCAGACCUAGACU